rnacentral:misc_RNA from 1 species
UCAAACUUGGUCAUUUAGAGGAAGUAAAAGUCGUAACAAGGUUUCCGUAGGUGAACCUGCGGAAGGAUCAUUCACAAUAAGAGUGUUUAUGGCACUCUUCCAAAAACAUCCAUAUCCACCUUGUGUGCAACGUAAGAAGAAAAAAAAAAUAGUGCGAGCCAUGGAUGCAAGUCCAAGUCUUGCUUCUUUUUUUUUCUUUUCCACAUACACCUUUUUAUGUUCCUAUUGUCUGAAGCUGUUAGAGAAUAACUAAUUCUUAAACAUAACUUUCAACAACGGAUCUCUUGGCUCUCGCAUCGAUGAAGAACGCAGC